AUCAGGAGAAACUCUAGCAUUAGAGGAGAUACAGGCAAUGAUAGAUGAGGCGGAUAUUGAUGGAGACGGGCAGAUAAAUUAUGAAGAAUUUUAUCAAAUGAUGAAUUCCUCCUAAAACAGCUCUACCUCCCCUCUACAAGAUCAUGAAGCGUUGUCUUAAAGUUCUAUAAAUCUGGAUCUCAUUUCCUCAACGUUCCUUUUAAUUUAAAACAAAUAAACUUGAGCUGUUAA